rnacentral:rRNA from 1 species
CGGGGUGCACCAGGCGCGAAAACUUUACAAUGCCGGCAACGGCGAUAAGGGAACCUCGAGUGCCAGGUUAUAAAUCUGGCUGUCGUGAUGCCUAAAAAGCAUUGCAUAGCAAGGGCCGGGCAAGACCGGUGCCAGCCGCCGCGGUAACACCGGCGGCUUGAGUGGUAACCGUUAUUAUUGGGUCUAAAGGGUCUGUAGCCGGCCGGGUAAGUCUCUUGGGAAAUCUGGCAGCUUAACUGUCAGGCUUUCAGGAGAUACUGCCUGGCUCGAGGCCGGGAGAGGUGAGAGGUACUUCAGGGGUAGGGGUGAAAUCUUGUAAUCCUUGAAGGACCACCAGUGGCGAAGGCGUCUCACCAGAACGGACCUGACGGCAAGGGACGAAAGCUAGGGGCACGAACCGGAUUAGAUACCCGGGUAGUCCUAGCCGUAAACGAUACUCGCUAGGUGUCGGCCACGGUGCGACCGUGGUCGGUGCCGUAGGGAAGCCGUGAAGCGAGCCACCUGGGAAGUACGGCCGCAAGGCUGAAACUUAAAGGAAUUGGCGGGGGAGCACAAGGGCGAAUUCG